GGAAUGAGGGAGAAAGCCAACAGCCAACCCGCGUUCCUUAAAGUCAUCGUCAGAAGAGGAGGAGCUACCCGGUGAACCACUGUCCUCAACAGGCACAACCAGCCAGCAGACAAGGCAAAGAGGGGAUGGAGCUAGGUCUGAACGAGAGCAACAAAUGAGUUCCAGAGUCUUCACCAGGCAGGAUGAGGAAAAAGUUGCCUUUUACUUUGACAAUGACCUCCUACUAUCAACGGGUGGAGGUGCGCCCACCGGCCGCCAGCACGCAGACCAUAAUGCGACCCGACUCCUCUGGUAUGAGAUCUGUGAGGAAUUAGUACCAAAUUGGGAGGACCUCCGAAAGAGGCAAAGGGAUCAGUGGCGUAAAUAUUGAUUUUUAUUUAUGGAAUGCAGGUUGACCCCCCUGUAACGACCAGGGGGGCCAA